rnacentral:rRNA from 1 species
UACGACCGGCGCACGGGUGCGUAACGCGUAUAGAACCUACCUUUUACAGGAGAAUAGCCCAGAGAAAUUUGGAUUAAUGCUCCAUAGUAUUAUUGAACUGGCAUCGUUUAAUAAUUAAAGUCUCGGCGGUAAAAGAUGGCUAUGCGUUCUAUUAGCUAGUUGGUACGGUAACGGCGUACCAAGGCGACGAUAGAUAGGGGUCCUGAGAGGGAGAUCCCCCACACUGGUACUGAGACACGGACCAGACUCCUACGGGAGGCAGCAGUGAGGAAUAUUGGACAAUGGAGGCAACUCUGAUCCAGCCAUGCCGCGUGCAGGAAGACGGCCCUAUGGGUUGUAAACUGCUUUUAUACGGGAAGAAACCCAACUACGUGUAGUUGGCUGACGGUACCGUAAGACUAAGCACCGGCUAACUCCGUGCCAGCAGCCGCGGUACUACGGAGGGUGCAAGCGUUAUCCGGAAUCAUUGGGUUUAAAGGGUCCGUAGGCGGACUGAUAAGUCAGGGGUGAAAUCCAACAGCUUAACUGUUGAACUGCCUUUGAUACUGUUAGUCUUGAAUUAUAUGGAAGUAGAUAGAAUGUGUAGUGUAGCGGUGAAAUGCUUAGAGAUUACA